rnacentral:sRNA from 1 species
UGGCUUUGUAGAACUUGGACCCUCAUAUGUGGGUCUGCCUGAUCGGGGCACAGUCCCUUCCCACAGCUGCUUCCCAGAGGGCCUAGGAAACUAAAGAGUGCUGGGCAGGCCCAGGCCUCUACCCUCCCUGCGCCAUUGCCCUCCCUGGCCCACAGAAGUGAGCCUGAGGGAUACCUGGACAGCCAGGUGGCCGUGCACAGCUGUAGGGUGUUCUCUGAACUGGCAUAGCAUGCUAUAGCCUCUGCAUCACUGUCAGGUGGUGGCUUAGCGGGGCCUCAAAGAGGUGUUGUUGAUGCGUUAUUUGGCCCUGGGGUGUGUGAUGGGUCAGGUGGGCCCUUUGUACCUCCCUCUGUUCUGGAUGCUUCAGACCUCAUGUUGUCUACAUGUCCGAGCCCUUUGGGGUGGGGCUCAUCCUCCCUGCACUUGGCUUUCACACAGCUCUCCUGGAUAUCCAUGCCCCUAAUCAUUGCAUUCUUUGCUCUCUCCUCAGUGGUCGUAACCCACAAAAUCCUUCGGAAGGCCAGAGGAAACCUGGAGCUUAGGCCUGGGGGAUCCCAUCCAGGAACAUGCAGUCCCAGCAGACCAGGCUCCUGAGAAGAACUUUCAGCCAAUAAAGCUUGUGCUUCCCCCACCGA